rnacentral:lncRNA from 1 species
UCAAGUUUGUUAGGUAUGCUUCUAAUGGCAACUUGUAAGAAUCACAGAAAUGUGAAAGUCUUGUGCUUUUCUAUGCUAUUCUGUUUGGCUGUGUAUGACCUCAUAGUUUCCUAGAGCUUGACUUUGUUGUUUGGAGCUCAACAAAGCAUGCUUAUUGCUCACGCAUACACUGCAGCUGCUUGUUCCUCUGGCAAGUACCUUUCGGUAUGAGGGGCCUGAGGUGAACAUGACAUUGGCAAGAUCAGAGGCUAAGAUACUUCAUGAGAAGAUUCACAAGAAGGCUUACAAUCAUGAUGAGCUCAUCAGAAUUGUUACUACAAGAAGUAAAGCUCAGCUUAAUGCAACCCUCAAUUACUACAACAAUGAGUUUGGGAAUGCCAUCAACAAGGUAUCCUACUUAUUUUCUCCAUACCUACAUACUACAGUAUUGCCAAAUUUAUAAUGGUGUCAAGUGGAUCUUGAUCUGGAACUUGAACUUAACUAAGCAAAGGAUUCACCUUGGACUCUCUGCUCUUUGGAUUACCUUCAGAAUUUGUGAAGUUGCAGUUUAUAAUGCAAUUGCACAUGCGUCUAAAAGCAAGAUAUUGAAGUGCUCCCACAAUAAUCCUUUACUUCUCUGGAUGUUUGGCAUUGCAAAUGUAUCUAGAGAUCUACUCUGCUACAAUGAGAUUCUUGAAUGUGACCUUUUGGAGAGUGGAAUGCCACGAUUAAGAUUUUCUCUUGAUACCGGCAGCUUCCCCCCACAUUUUCCUGUACUGAUAAAUGAGGACAGAUGAAAGAUCUUUUUCAUCUGAUACCUAGAUCCGUAUCCAUCAUUAUCAUAAGACAAAACUUGAAAAUCCAUAUUCUUUGGUCUCUAAUGUAACAAGAUUGAUGUUUUGAUAGUAGUGAAUCGUCCUCAGAUAGUUUUUAUUAUAAAAGAGAAGCUGAAACCUCCCUACAUAAAGACUAACUUGGGCUGAUGUCACUUUGAUCUGCAAGUUGCCUAGUUGAUUUCUCCUGAUAUAUGUGUUUAUGACCACUCUAAUGGUAUCGCUAGAUAUUUUUCAUUUAUAUAUGUUCCUAUUCUGUAUGUCAGUUGUUAGCUGUUGAAUUUCUUUCAAUUUCUUAGUAGAGAUUUUUAAGUUCAUUUUAAGACACAGCUUACUCUGGGAGAUUGCUUUGGUGCUGUAAUCAUCUGGAAACCUCUGUAUGCAGGAUCUGAAGGCUGAUCCAAAUGAUGAAUUUCUGAAACUGCUGAGAUCAGCAAUUAAGUGCUUGACUUAUCCAGAGAAGUACUUUGAGAAGGUACUGCGUCUGGCCAUCAACAAGCUGGGAACAGAUGAAUGGGCUCUUACUAGAGUAGUCACCACUCGUGCGGAAGUUGACAUGCAGCGGAUCAAAGAACAGUACCACAAAAGGAACAGUGUUCCUCUAGAUCGGGCUAUUGCAAAUGACACAUCUGGGGACUACAAGAAGAUGCUUCUCACUUUGGUUGGACAUGAGGAUGCUUGAGUGAGACUUGUGUCUCAGUGUUCCGUGCGAGGUAGAUUUAACUGGCUGCGAGAUGUAUUGUUAUGGUUGGAGUUGAGUUGAGAGCGUCUUGUUUAAGGUUUCGUGUGCGCUCGUGAUUUAUGUUUGGGGAACUUUUUGCUGGUUUGCUAUGGUUUUAAGAUAGCCAUGGAAAGGUGCAUUUAGCAUCAGUAUGGUCAUGAUAAGCUGGUGGUUUUGCACAUUUAUGGUGUGGAAUCCAACUAAUAACUGGGAAAAACGGGACUGAGAAGUGAUUGUCGAGGAGGUUAUGUUUAUCAAUCUUAAUCAACUUGCUUGCUUCUUCUCAACUUUGAAGUCGUAAAACAUAAUUGUCUUCGCUACUUAUGUGAGGGGUUGUCUUCAGAGAAAUGACGAGAGAUGUGAUAGAGAUAGCUUAAUCCUAUCCCUUGAAAGCCACACUCAAGUGUCACGGUCAAGAGGUUUCCAUGGCUAAAGGACCGUGCAUCUUCAAGGAGGACCUCCGAGAUCACCAUGAUUUCCCGCAAGAGAGCUUCCAAAACAUUCCAAGGGCGGGCGAUAUGAUAAUUGAGUCGAAGUCUAGAACUCUCCUAUCAUUAGUGUCCAUAGUUGGUAGAUUGAGUGGUACAACCUUGUCUGCUCGAUGAAAACUCGAUUAACGGUUGUAAUGGGAGGGCUUCUAGUAUAAGAAGGUUCCCUCCCCCUCAUUUGUAUCCAUCCAACCAUUUCAGUAAUCAAAAAGUUCUCAAUCCGAAUGAACCGGGUGAGCAAGCGAGCGAUCAAUCCGAGCUGGCUUAGGUGCCCCAAUGAUCCGUAACACAAGCAUAUGAUAAAAAGAACAAAGUUGUAACAGCAACAUGGUAUUAUUGAUGAUUGCUAUAUAUUGCUCUUUAUUUCUCAAGAAUCCCAGCAAAAUGAUCCUCUAAAGAUGUAAAGGAAUCUGCAAAUACCUCCAUUGGUCAACCACACCCAGACAACUGAAAAUUGAUAGCGUUAGAUUAUCCCAAUAUGCUUGAAGCCGAAGGGGUACAAGGAGGAGGCGGAGUACUCGAAAGAGAUGAUACCACCGGAGGGAGAGCUUUGCCUCCGUUUGCCAAGCAGUCGUCCUCGGCAUUGCCAAACCGCUCGACUAUUUCCAGGUCUGGGAAUGUCAGAGCUAAAUGAGAGUCACGGUUAAGGUGGACACUACAGAGCAAUGGACGGGCACAGGUUCUUUAUUUCAACCAAGAAAACCGGAAUUCCUAUUUUUUCUUGGAUAAACAAAGUAACAAAGCGUGACCCAAGACGGGCCCCCUCUAACCGGACCAGAUGGAUUUAUGGGCCACUUGGUUGGGCCGGCUCGACCCAACAGCAGGCUUAAGUUCUAUUUUGGAGAGCACCCUAGUGAUGGAAAUGCAAGGAAAAGGGCCCAAAAGUUGUGUUCGUUUGAGUUAAAAAUAUUUCCGCGAAUUAGGCUCCAUUUAGAAACCUUUUAUUUUUUUUUGGCUCUCCAAACUAGAAAGGAUAGAAAUUCAUUUAGUAACAUCAAUUAAUUUUUCUAUUCCCUCGAAUAGAAAAACGAUUGAGGAAUAGAUUUGGAAUAGAAAUAAGAAAUAGAAAAAAGUAACUUCUUGAAUUUAUAGAAAUAAGUCACUUUUUUUUUUCUUUUUUUCCCGUCUUCUUCCUUGCCGCUUGUCCCCCCCUACUACCGCCUCCCCUCGGCCAUCGGGCGGCUGUGGCCGGUGGACGGCAAACAAAGGACAGGAUCAACAACCGGCACAUAGUGAAGAAAAGAAAAAGAGAAAAAUAAUUUUAAAAAAAUUAUUAAAAAAUUAAAAGAAAUGCUACGUUAUAAGAAAAUUUAUGGAUUGUACUAAACGCAUUUAUAUUCUUUUUCUAUUUCGAGAAUAUAAAUUUUGUGUAGUUACCAAAAAUGUUCUUUUACUUAGAAAUUAUUCUAGAGAAUAAAAAUAGAAAAAGACUAUUUCUUAAAAAAAAAAAAAUUCUAGGAACAAAAAUGUUACUAAACAGACCUUUAGUUUCUUUGACUUUCAUGUGUUUGGUUUAUUGAAAAUAAUUUCUAUAGAAAACCAUUUAAGGUUGAACAAAAUAUUCAUACUUAAAAUAAGAAAAAUGAAUUCUCUAAUGAAAAUGAUGUUCACCCGUAUUGUUAUAUAAAGUAAAUGGCCUUUUCUAUUUUUAACAUAUCCCAAUUGUUCCAACCCCCCCCCCCCCCCCAAAAAAAAUACUUGUCUCAUAAAUAUUCUAUUCAUGAACAAUCAAUUCGUAAUUUAAUUUUAAUUUAAUCUCUCACAUAUUUCAGCAUUCAAAUUUGAAUUUUUUUUUCCCAUCCAACCAGCACCAUCUUAAAAAAAAUAAAAAAUAAAUCUCAAUACAUUUUUCUCUUUCCACGUCUAUUGAUUCAUUUUUUUUUUUGUGUUGUCUGUAUUUAUUAAUAAUUUAUUUCUCGUUCCUAAUUUAUUUGUUGCGCAUAUGCACAUUCGCGAGUGUUAUAUACCGAAGGUGCUUAACAUUAUUUCAAAAAUCUUAUAUAAAUGAUUAUAUAAUCACUUAAAAAAUUUCACAUGCUUUAAUUAAAUCUUUUCCUUAUAUGUUAAAGAGGAAAAAGCACCAAAGUCCUACAUUUUGCUUACUGUGAUAUAUUUACCUUUAUGAUGUGGACACAUAGUGGCAAACAAAGCUAAGUGACUCAAAUGAAAUAAAAACUGCGCUGUUUUGACUGGGAAGUAUGCUGACUUGGUGCAAAUUUUAGGGCUCUUUGUUCAUGUUCUUGUUGGGAAAUAAUCCAGCUGUUUGUGUUUGCUGUGUUUCUAUUCAAGGGACAGAACACACAUGACUAGACAUGGGAAACAAGCACAUUCAGGCCAACCAAAAAAUUGACUUCAUUAAGUGGUAAUUUCUCUGUGUGAUUCUCAUAAAAAACGUCAGUAGAAAGAAAGAGAAAAUACAUGAAUCUGGGCUUCAUUUGGUUACGAUACAAACGGAUAUGCUCAUGGUAAUUCGUCGAAUGAAAAAUUCUCGGAAAAAGAAAGAGAGAGAGAGAAUUUAGUUAAGUAGAAUGUUCGAGCCCAUUAAUUUUUUGAGUUGCAUUGAGAAUAGUCAUCUCCAUCAUAGGAAACACUUAAGCCCUCAUCGUUACUCACCGAUCAUCGCUACAGCCCUUGAGGGGCACAUAGAUGCCGCUGGAAUCGUGACCUACGGCUAAGUCUUAAAGUUGCUGGUAUGGUCACAUCCUUCAACUACUGACUACCGUUUGUCAUCCAUGCUUUAGCCAUAAUACUCUCCAGCACCAUCAUCAAAUCAACGAGAUAAUAUUUACAUUACGACGUGGAUCUUUUCAUUUUAAGUUAAGUGAUCGUCAUAUCAACUUUAUGUUGAGAUAAUAAUUGGGAUGGGACGUUGUCUUUUUCAAUUUUAAGCCAAGUGAUCACUACUUCAGCUCCAUUUGCCAUCAACAUCCCGUAAGUCUUUAAGUCCGAACCCUUAACAUAUUCAAUCGGACCGAUUUUCCUGCGUAGGACGCUCGAUUUGUUAUUGUCGGUGCGAGGGACCCUAGCCAUGCCCGAUCUCUCCCACCACAAAAUAUGAACGCGAUAAAAUAUUUUCUUCCGGGCGUGAGGAAAGGGAGAGCGUGUGAUCCAAAGUCAGAAUAGAAAAAUAAUUCAUUCAGAAAAAUACAAAUGAAAGUUUCUUCUUUUGAGGCCGGGCAGAGGCAGAUGGGCAUGAUGCCUCCAAAUGGAAAAGCAACAGGAGAGUAGUCAUUUACUUUUUGACAAUUGGCAACUAAUUAAAUAAUUAAUAAAAGGAAGUCGAACAAUUCAAACCAAAAGUUGGUGUGUACGUGGGAACACGCUUUCAGAUCCGCAUUUAUAGCAAUCAAAAUCCGCCCCCACCUGUCCCACUGUCCUAAUAAAAGAAAAAAAGAAGAAAAUAAAAUCAUAUCCUAAAGCUGAAUUUGGCAAUAACUUUAACUUAUUCAUAUCAUACCGAGCAUCUCCUCUUUUAGGUUCAAUAAUUCUCAUUAAUUAAUUUUCUAAAAAAUCCCAACUUUAAGUUCAAUCCAAAUUUACCCCGAACUUUAUUUAUCAAAAAAACUCAAUUUUAAGUUCGGUUCCAAAUCUACUACUCUAAACUUUAACUUUAAUUUCAAAUAUGUCAUUGUUAGUCUUUUGUCCAAAAAUAACUAUUUAACGUCUCUCUCAAAGAAUAAUUUUAUUUUGGAGAUAAUUUCCACGUUACCUUAUUAAUGUUGAUUUGUUACCGAUGUGGAAAUAUCACGCCAAAAGCCUCAUGGUGAUUUUGGACGGUCGGUUAACAAAAGUAAAUUUGAGAUUAAAUUAUACGUAGAUGAUUGCUUUUUCAAAAAAAAAAUUUGAGAUAACUUUAGGAUUAUGCUCAAAAUUAAUAAUUUCUUUAGAUCAAAAAAGAUCCAGGAUUGGAUAUAAAGUUGUAGACUUGUUUUUAGACAAAAAAAAAGAAGAAGCUCAGGUUAGAAUUGAGACAUGACAUAAAGUUUGAGAUUCUUUUUUGAGGUAGAAUUAGAUUAAAUCUAAAGGGUUAAUCCGGUAAUAAUCUUGAUUUCCCUUAAUAUUUCUCUGUCUGUCUUUGUAAAAGCCCGGCACAGCAUCGUCUUCGGCUCCUCGCGAUAUCACCAACUUGCUUCCGCACAGAGAGAGAGAGAGAGAAUGGCGACUAUUACGGUGCCACCGUCGGUUCCGUCUCCGGCUGAGGAUGCCGAGCAGCUCCAAAAAGCUUUCGCAGGUCUCCUGUAUUCAUCAUCAUCAUCGUCAUCGCUAAACUUUUCUCUUUCCAUCUACUUUCGUGUUGCUCUGAACAUUCGACUACGUGGAUCCUCUUCGAGCUGUCGUUUCGUGCUUCGAUCGUCGUCGGUUUCGGGAGAUCGGAUGCUCAUCUGGGUGUCUUUAUUUUUUUUUCUUUUUAAUCUUAGCACAAUGCAUGUCCUUCUCUGUGUUUGUUUCGAUGGAUCUAUGAUCCCGUGUCCUGCUGCGGAGUCUCUUUCUGAUCUGUGUCAUGGAUUGUUAGUUCCUUCUGAUCAAGAAUAGUUUUUAGCGCUAGACGUUCCUUUGUCCGCGUUGAUCUGAUCAGUCUUGUCUUACAUGUCCCCUCUUUGCUUCUGCUACUGGAUGAGCUAAUCAAAAACACAGAGAAGAGGCAAGAGCCAUUGCUUCCGAGUUCAUUUGACUGGUGUUAAGCACUUCUACACAUGGAGUUUGGUAGUGAUUAUUGAUUAUGCGCAUUUUGUAGGACGAGUUCAGUGGAAAAAAGUUCAAGGAUGAUGUUGAAUAAUUGAUAAAAGUUCUGAGACCAUUUGUGUCGUAAUCGCCAUUUUUCUUCUGGGUUUUUGUCAAUCACGCGGGCUGCUCUUCUAGCGUAUGUAUCCGCAGCGCAUUUUUGUACGUUCUGAUGGUUGUUUGUUUGUGGUGGGCGAGCAAAUUGUUUAGCUGUUGGAAAAUUUGUGUCCGCAGGAUGGGGGACGAAUGAAGAUCUGAUCAUAUCCAUACUGCCUCAUAGAAACGCAGCGCAGCGGAAAGUAAUCCGACAAACAUAUGCCGAGACAUAUGGGGAAGAUCUUCUCAAAGCGCUUGACAAGGAACUCUCUAGUGACUUUGAGGUCAGUUUUCUAUUCUGCAGUGUGAAGGAUCUCUCCAAAAGCCGGUUCUUGCUCAGCUGUUGUCCUCUUUGUUUCCCGUCUCUUAUUUCCAUCAAACGUUUAUCAGAGAUCUGUGCUUCUGUGGACCCUGGAUCCUGCGGAGCGUGAUGCGUUCUUGUCCAGUGAAGCUACCAAGAGAUUGACUUCGAGCAACUGGGUUCUCAUGGAAAUUGCUUGCACGAGGUCUUCAAUGGAGUUAUUCAUGGUGAAGCAGGCCUAUCAUGCUCGUUAUAAGAAAUCUCUUGAAGAAGACAUCGCAUAUCACACUACUGGGGAUUUCCGCAAGGUACUCCUAGCUUUUAAUCUCAUUGCAGGAUCAUCCUGUCGAUCAAAUAGAUAUGAAGUCAAUUUUCUGUAGUUGCACUGCGUGUGAAAAUAUAUGUUGCCUCUACUGUCUCAAACUGAUGCCUUAAAUACACAAGGCCAGAAGCUUGGAGAUUUAGGAAGAGAAAUACUAAAAUAUCUUUCAAGUUUGUUAGGUAUGCUUCUAAUGGCAACUCGUAAGAAUCACAGAAAUGUGAAAGUCUCGUGCUUUUCUAUGCUAUUCCGUUUGGCUGUGCAUGACCUCAUAGUUUCCUAGAGCUUGACUUUGUUGUUUGGAGCUCAACAAAGCAUGCUUAUUGCUCACGCAUACACUGCAGCUGCUUGUUCCUCUGGCAAGUACCUUUCGGUAUGAGGGGCCUGAGGUGAACAUGACAUUGGCGAGAUCAGAGGCUAAGAUACUUCAUGAGAAGAUUCACGAGAAGGCUUACAAUCAUGAUGAACUCAUCAGAAUUGUUACUACAAGAAGUAAAGCUCAGCUUAAUGCAACCCU